UACGUAGGGUGCGAGCGUUGUCCGGAAUUAUUGGGCGUAAAGAGCUCGUAGGCGGUUUGUCGCGUCUGCUGUGAAAACUGGGGGCUCAACCCCCAGCCUGCAGUGGGUACGGGCAGGCUAGAGUUCGGUAGGGGAGACUGGAAUUCCUGGUGUAGCGGUGAAAUGCGCAGAUAUCAGGAGGAACACCGGUGGCGAAGGCGGCUAUCUGGGCUGCAACUGACGCUGAGGCGCGAAGGCUAGGGUAGCAAACAGG
rnacentral:rRNA from 1 species